CCCGGGCCUCUGUGGGGUCCGCUCCGGCCUGGCCGCUGGGGGAGCGUCAUAGCGGCGGCUCCUCCUGCCGGGCACUGACUGCGGCCAGGAGGCCGUGACAGAUGGUUGGAACACCAUUUGCUGUAAUUCAAAGUCAUGGAGACAACUACUCCCUGUAUGCUGGUUAGAAAGGGUGCUGUGGCAUUUGCAAGAGAGCAGGACUUCACAAUAGAAGAUAAUAAAAAUCUGACAACUAAGCAGAGUGCUAAAGCUUAUCAGUUACACUAAUUCUGGUUGGAUGAUGCUGGAAGGAGCUUAACUACACAAAGCCUUUCUGUGGAAAUUGCAAUGUUCUUUUGUGGAUCUAACCCUAUGAUUCUAGAGAUAGAGACUUUGACAUCUAAUAAAAUAUAUAUUUUUGUGUGGAGCGGGGGAACAUCUUUAACAUUUCUUUGUGGGGUGGUUUAACAGGGUGCUGGACGCGAACUGCUGAGCCCAGCUCAGCUCUCUGUCAGGCCAGCUCCCAUUAAGGGAGAGAAAUUGGAGCUGGCUAGAGAAACUUGUGCCUGAUUGGCAAAGGGGAAAUAGCUGCCAGGUAGUUAGCCUGGGGCUGCAUAAAAGCCUCAAAAGGAAGGAAAGGGGGAAGCCAGAGAGUGGAAGCUUGUCUCUUGCAGCUGUAGAGGCUGGGAAGUUCUUCACAUGGAAACCCCCUAUGUUGUAUAUGGUGAGAAGGUGGUGGGAUUUUAUGCUGUAAAUAAACUGCACUAGUGAUUGCGGAGCCAGAAGGUCUCUUAGUGGUUUUUGGAGCAGAGGCAGGAGCAAAGGGUGUCCUGCUAUGCCCUGUUAAAGGUGGGGAAAACUCUCUUUUCUAGCCCUCAGCACUCUGGAGUUGUCUCUCCACUGUCUUGCACACUGUGUAGUUACUUAGACCUGUGCAAAGUGGGUGGGAAAUGCUACCAAAUUAGAUUUCUCCAUUCACUUUUUGCCAGUGAUAGCAUUUUACACUCACUUUUUACAGGGGUAAACAACAUGAGUUCGCAGGAUGGAGAAUGAGGCAUCCUAAGGUCUGAUUUGAUGGGGGACUGAGCACCCAUAAUGCCUGCAGAAGUCAGUGGGACAUUUGGGUAUUCAUAACCUCUGAAAAUCAGGUCCUAGAUGUCUAAAGUCUGGCAAUGAAAAAUUGAGGUACCCAAAAUAAGAUACCACAAAAUAAGAUACCACUUUUGAAAAUGUAGUCCUAAGUGACUACAGUCAUAGGGGAAGUCUGCAGCAGAGCCAGGAAUAGAAUCUGAAUCAUCUGACUCCCAGUCCUGUGGCUUAACCAUAAGACCAACCUUCAUCUCCAGAUAACAACAGCAGAUAUCUUUCAAAUAUGAAUGGAGGUUUCAAAUUCAUCCACACCAUAUAAAGAACAACACUUUAACAUGAUUCACUGAUAAUUGAGUCCUGGUAACAGAACUACAUUCUCUCCUCAAAUCAAAAAAGUGGUUUUGGUUUUUGAAAUCAAUUUACACUUUGCUACUGUGAAGUCCACUGAGAGGAGUAAACAUUGCGUUUAACAUCUCCAUUCAUUCUGCUACCCUGCUUCACUUUUCAGCAUGUAAGAAUGACUUUAAAAUUAUUUUUUGUAAACACUUUACCUCACUAAAAAUAUAACUGUGAAAUACUCUGAUUCAGGAGAAAAAACAUAGUUAUAAGAUCUCUGAUUUUGAGAAUAUCCCUUAUUUUAUUCAAAAAAAAUUGUUGGAACAUUUAGAAAAAAUUUCAGAGGACACAAUACCUUAAAUAGUCAUUUUAAUUAAUUAUUUGAUUAUUCUGUAUUAAAAAUGUGGUAAGUACUGGAGUUAGAGGUCAUUAAGAAUCAAACUGGCUUGCAUACAUACAUAAAUGGAUGUGAUGUUAGAGGAUAAAAGUUUCUAUCAGCAGCAGCAAGGAUAUUGUGGUGAAGUGAUAAUUGUAUGCUGACUAGCAUCCCAGAACACUUCAGAGAGAAGUGACACAAGAGCUGGUAUAAAUUUUAGUGAAGACAAUCAAAGCAAAAUGUUGCCUUUGUAAGUGCAGAGGACUCCUAACAGUAGAAUUGGUAUGGUUCUACUGGUUGAGGACAUCCUGCAUGAACCACAUGGAGUCCACACCAUACACAGAGAAGGGUUGGGGAUGGUGGAACUAUUGGAAGGUUUUAAGGCUGAGAUAUGUUAGGUAUUUGUGUACGUAGGAGAAGAAAGACAUUAUGUGCAUAUUGGAGUCUGGAAAGUGGGAGAACAAGAGAAGAUGAAGAUAUGGACAGGGAUUUCGGAACAGGUUGAUUCAAGAAAGUAGAGCCA